GACGAACGCUGGCGGCGUGCUUAACACAUGCAAGUCGAACGGAAAGGCCCUGCUUUUGUGGGGUGCUCGAGUGGCGAACGGGUGAGUAACACGUGAGUACCUGCCCUUUACUUUGGGAUUACUUUCGGAAAAUGGGGCCAAUACCCGAUUGGGGCCCCCGCCGGCUUGUGGGGGUUGGAAAGUUUCGGCGGUUGGGGAUGGACUCGCGGCUUAUCAGCUUGUUGGUGGGGUAGUGGCUUACCAAGGCUUUGACGGGUAGCCGGCCUGAGAGGGUGACCGGCCACAUUGGGACUGAGAUACGGCCCAGACUCCUACGGGAGGCAGCAGUGGGGAAUAUUGCACAAUGGGCGGAAGCCUGAUGCAGCAACGCCGCGUGCGGGAUGACGGCCUUCGGGUUGUAAACCGCUUUCGCCUGUGACGAAGCGUGAGUGACGGUAAUGGGUAAAGAAGCACCGGCUAACUACGUG
rnacentral:rRNA from 1 species